CCUCGUGUUGCAUCCCUC
rnacentral:snRNA from 1 species